rnacentral:rRNA from 1 species
UACGUAGGUGGCAAGCGUUGUCCGGAAUUAUUGGGCGUAAAGCGCGCGCAGGCGGUCCUUUAAGUCUGAUGUGAAAGCCCACGGCUCAACCGUGGAGGGUCAUUGGAAACUGGGGGACUUGAGUGCAGAAGAGGAAAGCGGAAUUCCACGUGUAGCGGUGAAAUGCGUAGAGAUGUGGAGGAACACCAGUGGCGAAGGCGGCCACCUGGACGGAUACUGACGCUGAGACGCGAAAGCGUGGGGAGCAAACAGG